rnacentral:rRNA from 1 species
GAUGAACGCUGGCGGCGUGCCUAAUACAUGCAAGUCGAGCGAACAGACGAGGAGCUUGCUCCUUUGACGUUAGCGGCGGACGGGUGAGUAACACGUGGGUAACCUACCUAUAAGACUGGGAUAACUUCGGGAAACCGGAGCUAAUACCGGAUAAUAUUUCGAACCGGAUGGUUCGAUAGUGAAAGAUGGCUUUGCUAUCACUUAUAGAUGGACCUGCGCCGUAUUAGCUAGUUGGUAAGGUAACGGCUUACCAAGGCAACGAUACGUAGCCGACCUGAGAGGGUGAUCGGCCACACUGGAACUGAGACACGGUCCAGACUCCUACGGGAGGCAGCAGUAGGGAAUCUUCCGCAAUGGGCGAAAGCCUGACGGAGCAACGCCGCGUGAGUGAUGAAGGUCUUCGGAUCGUAAAACUCUGUUAUUAGGGAAGAACAAACGUGUAAGUAACUGUGCACGUCUUGACGGUACCUAAUCAGAAAGCCACGGCUAACUACGUG